GCCUACGGGGGGCAGCAGUGAGGAAUAUUGGUCAAUGGGCGGGAGCCUGAACCAGCCAAGCCGCGUGAAGGAAGAAGGCGCCAAGCGUCGUAAACUUCUUUUGUCGGGGAACAAAGGGCGCCACGUGUGGCGUUGUGAGUGUACCCGAAGAAAAAGCAUCGGCUAACUCCGUGCCAGCAGCCGCGGUAAUACGGAGGGCGCGAGCGUUAAUCGGAAUUACUGGGCGUAAAGCGCGCGUAGGCUGUUGUGUAAGUUGGGGGUGAAAUCCCACGGCUCAACCGUGGAACAGCCCUUGAUACUGCGCG
rnacentral:rRNA from 1 species